rnacentral:lncRNA from 1 species
UUUGAUCGAGUGUUUAUUUUGUGUUCUUUUCUGAAAGUGGUUGAUUUUAAUCUUUUGUUAACAAUCAAUUAAUGCAAUGAAAUAACUGAAGGCGAUAAACUUAUUAAACAUUACAAGAAUGGGUGUACAAUUUGAUGAAUGGGGAUACAGCAUAAUAAUUAAACAACACAAGCUUAAAAUACAAUUGAAAAAUAAAAGAAACUCGUUGUAAGAAGGUUCGAGAGAAAGCUAAGGGAGUCGAAAUAAAAAUCAGAACAUAGGGUUAUGUUAAGAAAUCG